rnacentral:rRNA from 1 species
UACGGAGGGAGCUAGCGUUGUUCGGAAUUACUGGGCGUAAAGCGCACGUAGGCGGCUUUGUAAGUAAGAGGUGAAAGCCCAGAGCUCAACUCUGGAAUUGCCUUUUAGACUGCAUCGCUUGAAUCAUGGAGAGGUCAGUGGAAUUCCGAGUGUAGAGGUGAAAUUCGUAGAUAUUCGGAAGAACACCAGUGGCGAAGGCGGCUGACUGGACAUGUAUUGACGCUGAGGUGCGAAAGCGUGGGGAGCGAACAGG